GGUAGUGUGGCUCAGUGGGAAAGCAUCUGCUUGGCAUGCAGAAGGUCCAUGUUGUAUCCCGGGCAUCUCUA
rnacentral:tRNA from 1 species